rnacentral:rRNA from 1 species
UACGAAGGGGGCUAGCGUUGCUCGGAAUCACUGGGCGUAAAGCGCACGUAGGCGGCUUGCUAAGUCAGGGGUGAAAUCCUGGAGCUCAACUCCAGAACUGCCUUUGAUACUGGCGAGCUUCGAGUCCGGGAGAGGUGAGUGGAACUGCGAGUGUAGAGGUGAAAUUCGUAGAUAUUCGCAAGAACACCAGUGGCGAAGGCGGCUCACUGGCCCGGUACUGACGCUGAGGUGCGAAAGCGUGGGGAGCAAACAGGG